AGGACGAACGCUGGCGGCGCGCUUAACACAUGCAAGUCGAGCGAGAACCCACCUUCGGGUGGGGGAAAGCGGCGAACGGGUGAGUAACACGUGGGCAACCCACCCUUGGUAUCGGGAUAGCCCGGGGAAACCCGGAUUAAUACCGGAUGGCCCAACUGCUCUUCGGGGCGGUUGGAAAAGGUAGCUUCGGCCUCCGACCAAGGACGGGCCCGCGGCGGAUUAGCUUGUUGGUGGGGUAACGGCCUACCAAGGCGACGAUCCGUAGCUGGUCUGAGAGGACGAUCAGCCACACUGGGACUGAGACACGGCCCAGACUCCUACGGGAGGCAGCAGUGGGGAAUCUUGCGCAAUGGGCGAAAGCCUGACGCAGCGACGCCGCGUGGGGGAAGAAGGCUUUCGGGUUGUAAACCUCUUUCAGCAGGGAAGAAGCGCAAGUGACGGUACUGCAGAAGAAGCACCGGCUAACUACGCGCCAGCAGCCGC
rnacentral:rRNA from 1 species